UCCUAGAAUAGCCUAGUGGACAUGGCAUCUGCCCGGUAAGCGGAACACUGUGGGUUCGAUUCCCAUCCCUGGAA
rnacentral:tRNA from 1 species